rnacentral:rRNA from 1 species
GACGAACGCUGGCGGCGUGCUUAACACAUGCAAGUCGAGCGAUGAAGUUCCUUCGGGAACGGAUUAGCGGCGGACGGGUGAGUAACACGUGGGUAACCUGCCUCAUAGAGGGGAAUAGCCUUCCGAAAGGAAGAUUAAUACCGCAUAAGAUUGUAGUACCGCAUGGUACAGCAAUUAAAGGAGUAAUCCGCUAUGAGAUGGACCCGCGUCGCAUUAGCUAGUUGGUGAGGUAACGGCUCACCAAGGCGACGAUGCGUAGCCGACCUGAGAGGGUGAUCGGCCACAUUGGGACUGAGACACGGCCCAGACUCCUACGGGAGGCAGCAGUGGGGAAUAUUGCACAAUGGGGGAAACCCUGAUGCAGCAACGCCGCGUGAGUGAUGACGGUCUUCGGAUUGUAAAACUCUGUCUUCAGGGACGAUAAUGACGGUACCUGAGGAGGAAGCCACGGCUAACUACGUGCCAGCAGCCGCGGUAAAAC